rfam:Asian citrus Psyllid, Diaphorina citri - Florida Strain, whole genome shotgun sequence.
GCCUAGUUAGCUUAGUUGGUAGUGCGUCUGCCUUGUAAGCGCUAGGCCGCGGGUUCGAUUCCUGCCCGGGGC